AUUGAACGCUGGCGGCAGGCCUAACACAUGCAAGUCGAACGGUAACAGGAAGCAGCUUGCUGCUUUGCUGACGAGUGGCGGACGGGUGAGUCAUGUCUGGGAAACUGCCCGAUGGAGGGGGAUAACUACUGGAAACGGUAGCUAAUACCGCAUAACGUCGCAAGACCAAAGAGGGGGACCUUAGGGCCUCUUGCCAUCGGAUGUGCCCAGAUGGGAUUAGCUAGUAGGUGGGGUAACGGCUCACCUAGGCGACGAUCCCUAGCUGGUCUGAGAGGAUGACCAGCCACACUGGAACUGAGACACGGUCCAGACUCCUACGGGAGGCAGCAGUGGGGAAUAUUGCACAAUGGGCGCAAGCCUGAUGCAGCCAUGCCGCGUGUAUGAAGAAGGCCUUCGGGUUGUAAAGUACUUUCAGCGGGGAGGAAGGGAGUAAAGUUAAUACCUUUGCUCAUUGACGUUACCCGCAGAAGAAGCACCGGCUAACUCCGUG
rnacentral:rRNA from 1 species